rnacentral:rRNA from 1 species
CCUUGAAAAAGGGAGUUCAAGAAGAGCUUCGAAGAAGCUUUCUUGGUGGAGGGGAGUGGCAGACGGGUGAGUAACGCGUGGGAACAUACCCUUAUCUUCGGAACAACUCCGGGAAACUGGAGCUAAUACCGAAUGUGCCCUUAGGGGGAAAGAUUUAUCGGAUAAGGAUUGGCCCGCGUUGGAUUAGCUAGUUGGUGGGGUAAAGGCCUACCAAGGCGACGAUCCAUAGCUGGUCUGAGAGGAGGAUCAGCCACAUUGGGACUGAGACACGGCCCAAACUCCUACGGGAGGCAGCAGUGGGGAAUAUUGGACAAUGGGCGCAAGCCUGAUCCAGCCAUGCCGCGUGAGUGAUGAAGGCCUUAGGGUUGUAAAGCUCUUUCACCGGAGAAGAUAAUGACGGUAUCCGGAGAAGAAGCCCCGGCUAACUUCGUGCCAGCCGCCGCGGUAACAC